rnacentral:lncRNA from 10 species
UCUUAGUCCAAAUCCUUUAGCUGAAUGCGCGUGUCCCGGUGAGGCUGCUCCUCUAGAUGCUGCGGGCAUUUUGCAGACGUCCCACCAACUGCCAUCAGCGACCAAUUAGAAGAUAGGGACAGCUGCACAUGUCACACAGCCCUUCUGACCUUGUGUGUGCUUCAAGUCCGAGAUUCCUGACACAAAGCAGCGUGUGCCCCCCCACCCACUCUGUGGCCACAGCUGGAGUCCUGGGCUGCUGGGUGCUCCAGGUGCCAUACCCCACACACGCAUAGAGCCCGUGGGCUGGCAGCGGGCACCCACAGUGGCCUCUGCAAAGCCUGCCUGGCUGCGGCUCGUUUCCUCACUGCAGCAUGCUCAUAGGAAUGUGGGAGUUUCGCUUGAAGUGUGGGUAAAGAGUUCUGGGGUUGUUUGAGCCAUCCCAGGCCACAGGGCCUCCAGGAAGUGGAGGAAAUGGUAAAUCCAGGGUCCUCUUGGCCACUGCGUUGGCCUCUGCACACUUGGCCCCUGCGGACCCUGGGGCUUCUGCUUUACUGUCUGUGACAUAAACAAGUGACGCUUGCCACCUUCUUGCCGGGAAAGCCAGGCUGGGUUUUCUCAUUUCCACCUUUUCCCUGUUUUACACGAGGGCACGAGGAUGGGGCUGCAGUAUCAGUGACGCACCUGUCACCAGCGGGCCACAGAGCUUUGUGUUAGCCCCUCUCAAGCCCUUUAGCUUCUGGAACCGUUUAAAUUCUUAAAAAUUAUACAGGACCCCAAAGAGCUUUUGUUUAUGUGAGCUUUAUCUAUUGACAUUUACCAUACUAGGAAUUAAGAGGACAUUUAAAAUUAUUUAGCUACAUAAAAAUAACAAUAACAAACUUACUACCUGUUAACACACAUUUUAAAAUGAAAAGUGGCUACAUUUUCCAAAACAAAAAACGUGAAUCUUUAGCUCAAUCAAUGUUUCAAAUGGAAGCAUUAUGACAGUCAAAAGCUGGCAACUAAACAUAACUGGCACAAGCUCUGCCACCGAGACAAUGGAGGCCUGAGUAGUAGGCUCCCUGCAGAAUGAAAGGACUGGAGCUGCCAGCAUCAACACCAACGCAUCUCCCAACAAGGGUGAGUGAAAACACACACCUAAAGACCUCAGAGAGCACGUAAGCACACAGCUGUGCAUCCACUCUGAGGGUGAGCCACCAAGCACACGGUGACCCCGGGGAGCGCCCGAAGGGAGUGAAGUAUCUGAAGGAAAGAAGGAAGUGAGCGAUGGGCAAAGGAGAACCUGAGGACCCUGGCACAGUCUCAGCUGCAAACAUCUAGUCUUGCUUAACUGGGGUGCAGAGGCCACUGCACCUCAGGGUUCUCACGAAGCGCCUGACCUCUCUAUUUUAUUACUAUUAUUAUUAUUAUUUUUUUUUUUUGAGAAGGAGUCUUCCUCUGUCGCCCAGGCUGGAGUGCAGUGGUGCAAUCUCGGCUCACUGCAACCUCCACCUCCCGGGUUCAGGCGAUUCUCGUGCAUCAGCCUCCUGAGUAGAUGGAAUUACAGGCAUGUGCCAGCAUACCUGGCUAAUUUUUGCAUUUUUAGUAGAGUCGGGGUUUCAUUCACCAUGUUGCCCAGGCUGGUCUUGAACUCCUGGCCUCAAGUAAUCCGCCCGCCUCGGCCUCCCAAAGUUCUGGGUUUACAGGCGUGAGCCACCGCGCCUGAGCCCUCUAAGAGCCCCCGCCUGGCGUCGCUGUAGGCAAAUCCCAAAGAACGUGUCCCUUCAGCAGCCGGCUGGGGCGCCACAAACACUAUCUGUUGUCUUCGCUUUAGUUUGUGUCAAAGUGACUCAAAGUUACACAACACUGGCGGGCGACUGCCGCCUUUUUACCCUGUGGCCUUUCCCAUCCAGGCGUCCAGAGGGUGAGCCCCUGCCCUCCAGGACCCCUCCCUUCCAGGACCCUACCCGUCUGGGACUCAGGCCUUCCCUGACUCCUCCCUCCCGGACUCACCCCUCCCAGAUCCCUCCCCUCCGGGACCCUCUCCCCUCCCGGGCCCCCUCCCCUCCGGGAACCCCUCCCCUCCCGGACUCACCCCUCCCAGAUCCCUCCCCUCCAGGAGCCCCUCCCCUCUCGGGACCCCUCUCCUCCCGGACCCACCCCUUCCUGACCCCUGCCCUCCCGGACCCCUGCGGGACUAGAUGUAUACAGCUGAGACCAUAUCACGGUUCUCACCCUCGCUCUACCCUCCCGGACCCCUGCUCUCCCGGACGCGUGGACUCCAGCUCCCGCCUGGGUCCCCAAAGCGCUGAACCCAUGGUCACUUCUAUGCGUAGCCCUGGUGCCCGCCGCCCACAGCCGGACCGCACUCCUCGGCCUCCGCCUAACCCCUGGCUCAGCCACACGAGUGACAGCUCUGCCCGCCCGGGCGGGCGACGCCGAGGGGUGGGCUCGGCCCCACCUGAGCAGUUCCCCAGCGCCCCUCUGAAACCCGCCUGUGGUCCCUGGCGCCGCCUCUAGGGGCCGCCGCCGCUCCCCUA